rnacentral:sRNA from 1 species
CUGAAGAACUUAGUAUUGCAGUCCGUUUGAUCUACAGUUCAAGUAGGGAGCCACAGUUCAAUCUUCUUUAUACUGUCCUACCAGCAUGCCUGGCCCUGCAAUCUGGUGGUUUAACCUCUGAGGGUGAAAGUAGUUCAGUCUCCACGGCCAUUAAAUCCUUGGCCUCA